GCCUGGCUGGCUAAGUCGGUUACGUGUCUGACUCCGGCUCAGGUCAUGAUCUCAUGGUUCGUGAGUUCAAGCCCCACGUCAGGCU
rnacentral:tRNA from 1 species